CCCGUGAACCUGAAUAAGACGUGAUUAUCAUCCAAACAUAAAAUUAUGUAUUUAUAAAAAAAACCAUGCUAACCGUUUAAUAAAACUUCACAUAAAAGGGAAAUUUAUUCCUUAAAAACGGAUCGGGUUUAAUAAAGAUAUUAGAUACUUCUUCCUGAGUUCGGCUUCAUAUUGAUUAGUUCUUUCAGCUAGAUUUCUAAUACAGAUACUUAGUGAAAAACAAAAAGGAAGAGCAUAAAUGAAAAUUUUUGGGAAGCAGAUACAUCCUAGACAGAUUAUACUUUUGGUCGCUGGGAUGAUGGUGUUUGGAUCAACAAGUUAUGAUAUCCACAGAUCGAUCAAGAGCAACGAAACGCCACCAUCGAAAGAACAAAUCCAGGCGAUGGAAGAUUACCUCGCCACCAAACGCCGUCCUGGUUGAGCUCUCUCCGUCGUAUUUAUUCGUUGCUACGGAUUCGCCACGUUCACCACUGUAUUACCCUACACUCGAUUUUUUUUUCUAUUUACGAAUAUUUGAUAAUAAUCAAAUUUCUAAAAUAAAUUUGAGUGCAAUUAUCUUAUUAUUACGAUUUCAGAUGGUAGAUGAUUAGUUUUUAUUAGUACUUUGAAUUUUUGAUGAAGUAAUUUGGGUUAUUUGAGUGUUA